GGCCUCCUGGUGCUUACCACAGGCUGUGUUCAUACACUGACUGUAUAGAAAGAGGAGGCAAAGUAAGUACCCUACAUACACCUCAGCCCGGGCCUUGUGCCUGGUUGUAUGUGAAUGGGGUAACAUCU
rnacentral:snoRNA from 1 species